rnacentral:rRNA from 1 species
GACGAACGCUGGCGGCGUGCCUAACACAUGCAAGUCGAACGGGGUAUUUCUUCGGAGAUACUUAGUGGCGAACGGGUGAGUAACGCGUGAGAAACCUGCCUUUCAGUGGGGGACAACAGUUGGAAACGACUGCUAAUACCGCAUAAUGUCAUUUGGGGGCAUCCCUGAGUGACCAAGGAUUUAUUGCUGAAAGAUGGUCUCGCGUCUGAUUAGCUAGAUGGCGGGGUAACGGCCCACCAUGGCGACGAUCAGUAGCCGGUCCGAGAGGAUGAACGGCCACAUUGGGACUGAGAUACGGCCCAGACUCCUACGGGAGGCAGCAGUGGGGAAUAUUGGGCAAUGGGGGAAACCCUGACCCAGCAACGCCGCGUGAAGGAAGAAGGCCUUCGGGUUGUAAACUUCUUUUACCAGGGACGAACAAAUGACGGUACCUGGAGAAAAAGCAACGGCUAACUACGUGCCAGCAGCCGCCGUAACAC